UAGGGAAUCUUCCACAAUGGGCGCAAGCCUGAUGGAGCAACGCCGCGUGUGUGAUGAAGGCUUUCGGGUCGUAAAGCACUGUUGUAUGGGAAGAAAUGCUAAAAUAGGGAAUGAUUUUAGUUUGACGGUACCAUACCAGAAAGGGACGGCUAAAUACGUGCCAGCAGCCGCGGUAAUACGUAUGUCCCGAGCGUUAUCCGGAUUUAUUGGGCGUAAAGCAAGCGCAGACGGUUGAUUAAGUCUGAUGUGAAAGCCCGGAGCUCAACUCCGGAAUGGCAUUGGAAACUGGUUAACUUGAGUGUUGUAGAGGUAAGUGGAACUCCAUAUGUAGCGGUGGAAUGCGUAGAUAUAUGGAAGAACACCAGUGGCGAAGGCGGCUUACUGGACAACAACUGACGUUGAGGCUCGAAAGUGUGGGUAGCAAACAGGAUUAGAUACCCUGGUAGUCCACACCGUAAACGAUGAAUACUAGGUGUUAGGAGGUUUCCGCCUCUUAGUGCCGAAGCUAACGCAUUAAGUAUUCCGCCUGGGGAGUACGACCGCAAGGUUG
rnacentral:rRNA from 1 species